rnacentral:rRNA from 1 species
AGCUCCAAUAGCGUAUAUUAAAGUUGUUGCAGUUAAAAAGCUCGUAGUUGGAUUUCUGGUAGGAACGAUCGGUCCGCUCCGAAAGGUGUGUGUACUAGAGUCGUUUCCGGCCAUCCUUGCGGAGAACGUCUCUGGCAUUAGGUUGUCGGGGUCGGGAUCCGCAUCGUUUACUGUGAAAAAUUGAGUGUUUAAAGCAGGCAGUUGCUUGAAUACAUUAGCAUGGAAUAAUAAGAUAGGACUUUGGUGCUAUUUUGUUGGUUUGCACACCAAGGUAAUGAUUAAUAGGGAUAGUUGGGGGUAUUCAUAUUUAAUUGUCAGAGGUGAAAUUCUUAGAUUUAUGAAAGAUGAACUUAUGCG